UGCGUAGGCGGACUAGUAAGUCAGUGGUGAAAUCUCUCGGCUCAACCGGGACACUGCCAUUGAUACUGUUAGUCUUGAGUUCGGUUGAGGUAGGCGGAAUGUGUAAUGUAGCGGUGAAAUGCUUAGAUAUUACACAGAACACCAAUUGCGUAGGCAGCUUACUAGACCGACACUGACGCUGAGGCACGAAAGCGUGGGUAGCGAACAGGAUUAGAUACCCUGGUAGUCC
rnacentral:rRNA from 1 species